rnacentral:rRNA from 1 species
UACGUAGGUGGCAAGCGUUGUCCGGAAUUAUUGGGCGUAAAGCGCGCGCAGGCGGCUUCUUAAGUCUGAUGUGAAAUCUCGGGGCUCAACCCCGAGCGGCCAUUGGAAACUGGGAAGCUUGAGUACAGAAGAGGAGAGUGGAAUUCCACGUGUAGCGGUGAAAUGCGUAGAUAUGUGGGAGGAACACCAGUUGCGAAGGCGGCUCUCUGGACCAGCACUGACACUGAGGCACGGAAAAGCGAUGGGGGAGCCAAACAGG